UUAGGGUUUGUCCUAAUUAUCGACAAACAACAGUAAUUAGGGUUUUCUUCUAAUUACCGACAUCUUAUACACAGUAACCUUCAUAUACACAGUAAACUUCAUAUACACAGUCACUACUCAGUCAUAUCUCAUAACUGAGUUUAAUAAUUAGGGUUUCACAGCACGGUAAUAUGCUAUGACCUAAUUGACCGUCAUUGCUCAAUAUUAUAUGUCCGCACAUACACAGUACAUAAUUAUUGUACUGUAAAAUCAUUAUAACAAUAAUAUAAUAUUAUUAUUCUCAUCUCUUGAUCACAAU
rnacentral:lncRNA from 1 species